GACGAACGCCGGCGGCGUGCUUAACACAUGCAAGUCGAGCGGUAAGGCCCUUUUGGGGGUACACGAGCGGCGAACGGGUGAGUAACACGUGGGUGACCUGCCCUCAGCUCUGGGAUAAGCCUGGGAAACUGGGUCUAAUACUGGAUAUGACCUUUCCUCGCAUGGGGUUGGGUGGAAAGUUUUUCGGCUGGGGAUGGGCCCGCGGCCUAUCAGCUUGUUGGUGGGGUGAUGGCCUACCAAGGCGACGACGGGUAGCCGGCCUGAGAGGGCGACCGGCCACACUGGGACUGAGACACGGCCCAGACUCCUACGGGAGGCAGCAGUGGGGAAUAUUGCGCAAUGGGCGGAAGCCUGACGCAGCGACGCCGCGUGGGGGAUGACGGCC
rnacentral:rRNA from 1 species